UGGGGAAUAUUGCACAAUGGGCGAAAGCCUGAUGCAGCGACGCCGCGUGAGUGAAGAAGGUCUUCGGAUCGUAAAACUCUGUCCUUGGGGAAGAAAAUGACGGUACCCAAGGAGGAAGCCCCGGCUAACUACGUGCCAGCAGCCGCGGUAAUACGUAGGGGGCGAGCGUUGUCCGGAUUUACUGGGCGUAAAGGGUGAGUAGGCGGUUAAUUAAGUCAGAUGUAAAAGGCAUAGGCUCAACUUAUGUAAGCAUCUGAUACUGGUUAACUUGAGUGCAGGAGAGGUAAGUGGAAUUCCUAGUGUAGCGGUGAAAUGCGUAGAUAUUAGGAGGAACACCAGUGGCGAAGGCGACUUACUGGACUGUAACUGACGCUGAGUCACGAAAGCGUGGGUAGCAAACAGG
rnacentral:rRNA from 1 species